rnacentral:rRNA from 1 species
UACGUAGGGUGCAAGCGUUUGUCCGGAAUUAUUGGGCGUAAAGAGCUCGUAGGCGGUCUGUCGCGUCUGCUGUGAAAACUCAGGGCUUAACCCUGAGCUUGCAGUGGGUACGGGCAGACUAGAGUGCGGUAGGGGAGACUGGAAUUCCUGGUGUAGCGGUGAAAUGCGCAGAUAUCAGGAGGAACACCGGUGGCGAAGGCGGGUCUCUGGGCCGUAACUGACGCUGGAGGAGCGGAAAGCA